rnacentral:rRNA from 1 species
CCUACGGGAGGCUGCAGUGAGGAAUAUUGGUCAAUGGGCGGGAGCCUGAACCAGCCAAGCCGCGUGAGGGAAGAAGGUACAGCGUAUCGUAAACCUCUUUUGUCAGGGAACAAAGGCGGGGACUAGUCCCCGGAUGAGGGUACCUGAAGAAAAAGCAUCGGAUAAAUCGGUGCCAGCAGCCGCGGUCAUACGGAGGAUGCGAGCGUUAUCCGGAUUUAUUGGGUUAAAGGGGUGGGAAGGCGGACUCGUAAGUCAGCGGUAAAAGCCCGGGGCUCAACCCCGGCGAGCCGUUGAAAAUGGCGGGCUAGAGUUGGAGAGAAGUACGCGGAAUGCGCGGUGUAGCGGUGAAAUGCUUAGAUAUCGCGCAGAACCCCGAUUGCGAAGGCAGCGUACCGGCUCCACACUGACGCUGAGGCACGAAAGCGUGGGUAUCGAACAGGAUUAGAUACCCGUGUAGUC